GUUUCUUCGGAGAUGGAUUAGCGGCGAACGGGUGAGGAACACGUGAAGAAUCUGCCCUCCACUUUGGGAUAACACAGGGAAACCUGUGCUAAUACCGAAUAUUGAAACAUAAGUGGCAUCACUGAGUUUUGAAAGAAUUUCGGUGGAGGAUGACUUCGCGGCCUAUCAGCUAGUUGGUGAGGUAAUGGCUCACCAAGGCAACGACGGGUAGCCGGCCUGAGAGGGCGACCGGCCACACUGGGACUGAGACACGGCCCAGACUCCUACGGGAGGCAGCAGUGGGGAAUAUUGGGCAAUGGAGGAAACUCUGACCCAGCGACGCCGCGUGCGGGAUGAAGGCCUUCGGGUUGUAAACCGCUUUCAGUAGGGAAGAAGCGAAAGUGACGGUACCUAC
rnacentral:rRNA from 1 species